CUGCCAGUAGUCAUAUGCUUGUCUCAAAGAUUAAGCCAUGCAUGUCUAAGUAUAAGCAAUUAUACUGCGAAACUGCGAAUGGCUCAUUAAAUCAGUUAUUGUUCCUUUGGCAGUCCCUUUUUACUUGGGUAACUGUGGCAAUUCUAGAGCUAAUACAUGCCAAAAGCCCCGACUUCGGUUGUGGGUGGACUUGUUAGAUAAAGAAUCAAUGCCCUUCGGGGCUAGUGGGUGAAUCAUGACAAUUACGCGGAUCGCAUGGCCUUGUGCCGGCGAUACCCCAUUCAAAUUUCUGCCCUAUCAACUUUAGAUGGUAGCGUCUUGGGCUACUAUGGUUUCGACGGGUAACGGGGAAUUAGGGUUCUAUUCCGGAGAGGGAGCCUGAGAAACGGCUACCACAUCCAAGGAGGGCAGCAGGCGCGCAAAUUACCCAAUCCCGACUCGGGGAGGUAGUGACAAUAAAUACUGAUACAGGGCUCAUUUGGGUCUUGUAAUUGGAAUGAGUACAAUUUAAAUCUCUUAACGAGGAACAAUUG
rnacentral:rRNA from 1 species